AUAUAAGAACUGAUGUAUCAUAAUUAAUUUCGACUUAAUUUUAGCUAUUAUUUUAUAGCCUUAUUUA
rnacentral:tRNA from 1 species